GACGGGGGGGCAAGUGUUCUUCGGAAUGACUGGGCGUAAAGGGCGCGUAGGCGGCCGGCCAAGUCGGGGGUGAAAGCCUGUGGCUCAACCACAGAAUGGCCCUCGAGUACUGGACGGGCUCGAGACCGGAAGAGGUUGGUGGAAUUGCGAGUGUAGAGGUGAAAUUCGUAGAUAUUCGCAAGAACACCGGUGGCGAAGGCGGCCAACUGGUCCGGAUCUGGACG
rnacentral:rRNA from 1 species